AACGCACAUUGCGCCCCUUGGUAUUCCGGGGGGCAUGCCUGUUCGAGCGUCAUUUCAACCCUCAAGCUAAGCUUGGUCUUGGGCACUGCCGGUUACGGCUUGCCUUAAAAUUAGUGGCGGUGCCAUUCGAGCUCUACGCGUAGUAAUUUUAAACCCUCGCGAUUGAGUCUUGGUGGAAGCUUGCCAGCAACCCUCAAAUUCUUAUGGUUGACCUCGGAUCAGGUAGGGAUACCCGCUGAACUUAA
rnacentral:misc_RNA from 1 species